AUUGAACGCUGGCGGCAUACCUUACACAUGCAAGUCGAACGGUAACAGGUCUUUCGGGAUGCUGACGAGUGGCGAACGGGUGAGUAAUACAUCGGAACGUGCCUAGUAGUGGGGGAUAACUACUCGAAAGAGUGGCUAAUACCGCAUGAGAUCUAUGGAUGAAAGCAGGGGACCUUCGGGCCUUGUGCUACUAGAGCGGCCGAUGGCAGAUUAGGUAGUUGGUGAGAUAAAAGCUUACCAAGCCUACGAUCUGUAGCUGGUCUGAGAGGACGAUCAGCCACACUGGGACUGAGACACGGCCCAGACUCCUACGGGAGGCAGCAGUGGGGAAUUUUGGACAAUGGGCGCAAGCCUGAUCCAGCAAUGCCGCGUGCAGGAUGAAGGCCUUCGGGUUGUAAACUGCUUUUGUACGGAACGAAAAGUCUUGGGUUAAUACCCUGGGAUCAUGACGGUACCGUAAGAAUAAGCACCGGCUAACUACGUGCCAGCCGCCGCCGUAAUAC
rnacentral:rRNA from 1 species